rfam:Bacterium F16 isolate F16 NODE_53_length_3314_cov_4.48541, whole genome shotgun sequence.
UGGUAAGCUGCUAAGUGCACAUGAUGGAUGCCUUGGCACUGACAGGCGAUGAAGGACGUGACAAGCUGCGAUAAGCUUCGGAGAGCCGCAAAUUGGCUUUGACCCGGAGAUUUCCGAAUGGGGCAACCCAGCCAGGAUAACCUGGCUACUCUAUGCUGAAUACAUAGGCAUAGAGAGCGAUACCCGGUGAAGUGAAACAUCUCAGUAGCCGGAGGAGUAGAAAUCAACCGAGAUUCCGCAAGUAGCGGCGAGCGAACGCGGAACAGCCUAAACCAAUGUACUUGUAUGUUGGGGUUGCGGGACAGAUAAUAUGGACUUAAUCAAUCUAGCAGAACAUUCUGGAAAGUUUGGCAAUAAAGGGUGAUAGCCCCGUACGCGAAAGAUUGGUUAUACCUAAUCUGUAUCCCAAGUAGGUCGUCACACGUGAAACGAUGACUGAAUCCGGGGGGCCCACCCUCCAAGGCUAAAUACUAGUCAGUGACCGAUAGUGAACCAGUACCGUGAGGGAAAGGUGAAAAGAACCCCUGAAGGGGAGUGAAAUAGAACCUGAAAUCAUGUGCACGCAAACUGUAGGAGUAUCUCUUCGGAGAUAUGACUGCGUGCCUUUUGCAUAAUGAGCCUGCGACUUACCCUGUUUAGCAAGGUUAACCCGUUCUGCGGGGCAGCCGGAGCGAAAGCGAGUGUUAAUAGCGCGAUUUAAGUUAAGCGGGGUAGACCCGAAGCUUGGUGAUCUAUCCAUGGCCAGGGUGAAUCCUCUGUAACAGGAGGUGGAGGCCCGAACCGUUGCAUGUUGAAAAAUGCUCGGAUGAGCUGUGGAUAGGGGUGAAAGGCCAAUCAAACCAAGUGAUAGCUGGUUCUUUCCGAAAUAGCUUUAGGGCUAGCCUCACGCCAGUUGCGCACGGGGGUAGAGCACUGAGUACUUGCGGGCCCCUACCGGGGUACCAAUAGUUUUCAAACUCCGAUAGCGUGUGCUGCCAAGAAAGCUGAAAAAGCUGAAGGUGAAAAGAAAGCCUGCUGCGGCAAAUGUAAAAAAUAGCGUUAGCGUUUUGCUAUUAGCUAUUUAACUAAAACAAUAUGGAGGUCUGAAAAUGAACAUUAAGAAGACAGCUGUUUUCACUGUUCUGGCCGUUGCGCUUAUGAACGUAUCCUCAUUGGCUUGUGGCACUUGCGCCCCUUGCAAUGCAAACGCAAGCAAACAUACCAAGGCCGAUGCUAAAGGCAUUGACACCACGACUCUGGCCGCCAAAGUCAAAACUGAAAAAGAUCUAAUCAUCCUUGAUGCCCGUAGCGGCAAAUUCGAUGAUGGAAAACGUAUUCCCGGUGCUAAAGCGCUUGCUCCGACUGCUGAUGAUAAAACCAUCGCAGAAACUGCAGGUGCUGAUAAAGACGCCAAGAUUAUCACCUACUGUAGCAACCUGAAGUGCAAAGCAAGCUCCAAGCUUGCUGCCAAGCUCAAGGCUGCCGGUUACACCAACUUAACCGAGUACCAUGAAGGUAUUAAAGGUUGGGUUGCUGGUGGUAACCCUGUAGAGGAAGCCAAAUAGACAGUUUUCCUCCUAGCAAUAACCCCGAUUGACCUAGCGGUCUUCGGGGUUUUUCUUUGGCAAAAAUUGACUCGAGAAGAAGGCUAAUAGUCGACCCUACAACAAUCGAGACACCGAUAUGCUGUAAACAAUCCACCAGGAAGUUGUCAAAACGGUAGUAACGUUACAAUCCCCAUAGCCUCCCCAGGCAUGUCAGAAUUCAUCUAAUUCAUCCAACGUUAUAAUUCUGCAUCAUCCUAUCACCCGACAUCCUAUCACCCGACAUCCUAUGUUAUAAAAGUGGUCAUCACCGACCUAAUGAUGCCGGUAGUGGAUGGUAUUGCCACCAUUACCGCGCUCCGAAAAAUAGAUAAAAAUGUUAAAAUCAUUAAAGAUCUCAGACUUCUUUUUACCCCGUCCUUUUACCGCCAACAAGUUGCUGGAUGCCAUCCGAAAACUGAUCCUGAUACAAACGAUACCAUCGUAAACGCGCUUAAUGAGGCUUGAGGUGAUUGAAUCAAGCGUUAUCAUUCUGCGACAGUCCAUGUGAUCCAUCCGUCAUCCGAUCAUCCGUCAUCCGUCAUCCGUCAUCCGAUCAUCGUUUUUUCCACUAUUUAAAGCCAAAAAAACCCCAUACCGUCGUUAUCGGUAUGGGGUUUUGAGAAAAAAGGCUGGCAAUGAGCUACUCUCCCAGGGCCUUCCGCCCAAGUACCAUCGCCGCGAGGAAGCUUAACAAUCGUGUUCGGGAUGUAAACGUGUGUGUCCUUCCUGCCAUAAUCACCAGCCAAAGUUAAAAAACGAGCAUACAGAGAAGUUGCGGAGAGCGUAUUUUUAAGAAAUAUCGUUCUGCGUCUUAAUAGUAGUAUAAGAUUUACUACUCUUUCCGUUUAUCCUGUGCGUCAACGUAGGAAAAACGGAAAAAGGGUGAUAAACCUCACGACUGAUUAGUACCGGUUAGCUGAAAUCAUUGCUGAUCUUACACAUCCGGCCUAUCAACCUGGUAGUCUUCCAGGAGUCUUGAGUCUCAAUAAAGAGAGGGAUUACUCGUCUUCAGGGGGGCUUGGCGCUUAGAUGCUUUCAGCGCUUAUCCUUUCGCGACAUAGCUACCCGGCAUUGCAUCUUGGCGAUACAACCGGAACACCAGAGGUCACUCAUUCCCGGUCCUCUCGUACUAGGGAAUGCUCCUGUCAAUAAUCCUGCGCCCGCAGCGGAUAAGGACCGAACUGUCUCACGACGUUCUGAACCCAGCUCGCGUACCACUUUAAUCGGCGAACAGCCGAACCCUUGGGACCUUCUUCAGCCCCAGGAUGUGAUGAGCCGACAUCGAGGUGCCAAACAGCGCCGUCGCUAUGGACGCUUGGGCGCUAUAAGCCUGUUAUCCCCGGAGUACCUUUUAUCCGAUGAGCAACGGCAAUUCCACAUUUAACCGCUGGAUCACUAGGUCCUACUUUCGUAACUGCUCGACCUGUCGGUCUUACAGUAAAGCACACUUAUGCCCUUACGUUCUAACGCAUGAUUGCCAACCAUGCUGAGUGUACCUUCGAACUCCUCCGUUAUUCUUUGGGAGGAAACCGCCCCAGUCAAACUGACCCCCUGACAAUGUCCGCGCGGCAGAUUCAUGCUCACGCGUUAGAUGCUCAAUAAUUCAAGGGUGGUAUUUCACUAAUACCUCCACGACGCCUGACGACGCCGCUUCAAAGGCUCCCACCUAUACUA